rnacentral:rRNA from 1 species
CAGCAGCCGCGGUAAGACAGAGGAUGCAAGCGUUAUCCGGAAUGAUUGGGCGUAAAGCGUCUGUAGGUGGCUUUUUAAGUCGGAUGUGAAAUCCCUGAGCUUAACUUAGGAAUUGCAUUCGAUACUGGGAAGCUAGAGUAUGGGAGAGGAUGGUAGAAUUCCAGGUGUAGCGGUGAAAUGCGUAGAGAUCUGGAGGAAUACCGAUGGCGAAGGCAGCCAUCUGGCCUAAUACUGACGCUGAGGUACGAAAGCAUGGGGAGCAAACAGGAUUAGAUACCCCAGUAGUCCCUGUCUCUUAUAC